rnacentral:rRNA from 1 species
CCUACGGGCGGCAGCAGUGGGGAAUAUUGGACAAUGGGCGAAAGCCUGAUCCAGCCAUGCCGCGUGUGUGAAGAAGGCCUUCGGGUUGUAAAGCACUUUCAGUGGGGAAGAAAGCCUUGGGGCUAAUACCCUCGAGGAAGGACAUCACCCACAGAAGAAGCACCGGCUAACUCCGUGCCAGCAGCCGCGGUAAUACGGAUGGUGCGAGCGUUAAUCGGAAUUACUGGGCGUAAAGCGCGCGUAGGCGGUCUGAUAAGCCGGUUGUGAAAGCCCCGGGCUCAACCUGGGAACGGCAUCCGGAACUGUCAGGCUAGAGUGCAGGAGAGGAAGGUAGAAUUCCCGGUGUAGCGGUGAAAUGCGUAGAGAUCGGGAGGAAUACCAGUGGCGAAGGCGGCCUUCUGGACUGACACUGACGCUGAGGUGCGAAAGCGUGGGUAGCAAACAGGAUUAGAUACCCCAGUAGUC